CUGCCUCCCAUUUCGUCAUGUCCUUGAAAGUUACGCACACAACGUGCACCAGAGAACCGAGAAACCGAGAGAAAGAGAGAGAGAGAGCAUCGAUUUUUCUAAUUUCUAGAGAGAGACGACCCGAAUCCGAACCGGAAAGAAAAUGGGCAAGGAUCUGAGCGAGGAGCAAGUCUCAUCAAUGAAAGAAGCGUUCACACUAUUCGACACAGACGGUGACGGCAAGAUCGCGCCAUCCGAAUUGGGGAUCCUAAUGCGAUCUCUGGGAGGCAACCCGACCCAAGCCCAACUCAAAACCAUAAUAGCCGAAGAAAACCUAACAGCAGCUUUUGAUUUCCCUAGAUUUCUGGAUCUGAUGGCAAAGCACAUGAAGCCAGAGCCGUUCGAUCGGCAGCUUCGUGAUGCGUUUAAGGUGCUUGAUAAGGACAAUACUGGUUACGUCUCUGUAGCGGAUCUGCGCCAUAUUUUGACUAGUAUUGGGGAAAAGUUGGAGCCAGCUGAGUUCGAUGAGUGGAUUAGGGAAGUGGAUGUCGGAUCGGAUGGGAGGAUCCGGUACGAGGAUUUUAUUGCUAGGAUGGUGGCUAAGUGAUUUGGAAAGGUUGUGCUUGAUUCUUCGUGAAGUUGAGAUCUUGCGUUGUGUGAGAGAAAGUGCACAAACAGAUUGAGCCUGAUGACCACAUAGAUUUAAUUAGCCAGUUCAAGGGUGGUAACGAUGAUUUGGGGACAUGAGGCUGAUGGCUCCUUGGAAAGAAAAAGAAAAGUGUGAUGGCGUUAGAAAAUCUAUUCUGAGGCUUGUCAUAGCUAAGGAGCGAAAAUGGAAAUCCCAGGCAUGUGGUCCUAUAAUCUAAAUAUCUUUGUUACAAUUGCCGACAAUUUGAGCCGGGUCAAAUUAAACAGGUUAAUUGAAAGCUACUGGUGAUUCUUAAAUGCUAUGUUUCUACCAUUUAAAUGUUAAAUGAGCUAUUACAAUGGAAGACAUGCCUCAUGCAGAUAUAAACAAAGGUGCUAAGUGUCGAGGGCUUCCAUUUGUAGAGCAGAAAUGUUUGAGCACCAUCCUGUUUCAAUCUAAAAAUUUCUGCUUGUAGUUGCUUCCUCCUCCUCCUCCUCUUCCUCCUGUUCUACUUUAUCCAGUUCACCUGAACUUUAUCACUACUGUCGUUCUUUAUCCGAUUACCUAAACUCGCAUAUUGUCAUAACUAUUUAAUAUAUUAUUAUUGCUCAGCAA